rnacentral:rRNA from 1 species
AGUAAGUGUAUGGGGAUCUCGCCCGAUAGGAGGGAAUAACUACGGAAACGGUGGCUAAUACCGCAUAAUGUCUACGGACCAAAGCAGGGGCUCUUCGGACCUUGCACUAUCGGAUGAACCCAUAUGGGAUUAGCUAGUAGGUGGGGUAAAGGCUCACCUAGGCGACGAUCUCUAGCUGGUCUGAGAGGAUGAUCAGCCACACUGGGACUGAGACACGGCCCAG